rnacentral:rRNA from 1 species
GAUGAACGCUGGCGGCGUGCUUAACACAUGCAAGUCGAACGGUGAACGAGGGAGCUUGCUCCCUCCGGAUCAGUGGCGAACGGGUGAGUAACACGUGAGCAAUCUGCCCUGGACUCUGGGAUAAGCGUUGGAAACGACGUCUAAUACCGGAUACGAGGCGUGGGGGCAUCCCCAACGCCUGGAAAGAACUUCGGUCCAGGAUGAGCUCGCGGCCUACCAGGUAGUUGGUGAGGUAAUGGCUCACCAAGCCUACGACGGGUAGCCGGCCUGAGAGGGUGACCGGCCACACUGGGACUGAGACACGGCCCAGACUCCUACGGGAGGCAGCAGUGGGGAAUAUUGCACAAUGGGCGAAAGCCUGAUGCAGCAACGCCGCGUGAGGGACGACGGCCUUCGGGUUGUAAACCUCUUUUAGCAGGGAAGAAGCGAAAGUGACGGUACCUGCAGAAAAAGCACCGGCUAACUACGUGCCAGCAGCCGCAGUAAAAC